rnacentral:rRNA from 1 species
AUUGAACGCUGGCGGCAUGCCUAACACAUGCAAGUCGAACGGCAGCGCGGGGGCAACCCUGGCGGCGAGUGGCGGACGGGUGAGGAAUGCAUAGGAAUCUGCCCGGUUGUGGGGGAUAACGUAGGGAAACUUACGCUAAUACCGCAUACGACCUUCGAGUGAAAGUGGGGGACCUUCGGGCCUCACGCGAUCGGAUGAGCCUAUGCCCGAUUAGCUAGUUGGCGGGGUAAGAGCCCACCAAGGCGACGAUCGGUAGCUGGUCUGAGAGGAUGAUCAGCCACACUGGGACUGAGACACGGCCCAGACUCCUACGGGAGGCAGCAGUGGGGAAUAUUGGACAAUGGGCGCAAGCCUGAUCCAGCAAUGCCGCGUGUGUGAAGAAGGCCUUCGGGUUGUAAAGCACUUUUGUUCGGGAAGAAAUCCGUGUGGUUAAUACCCGUACGGGAUGACGGUACCGAAAGAAUAAGCACCGGCUAACUUCGUG